UACGUAGGGAGCAAGCGUUGUUCGGAUUUACUGGCGUAAAGGGCGCGUAGGCGGUCAGCACAAGUCAGUUGUGAAAUCUCCGGGCUUAACUCGGAAAGGUCAACUGAUACUGUGCGACUAGAGUGCGGAAGGGGCAACUGGAAUUCUCGGUGUAGCGGUGAAAUGCGUAGAUAUCGAGAGGAACACCUGCGGCGAAGGCGGGUUGCUGGGCCGACACUGACGCUGAUGCGCGAAAGCCAGGGGAGCGAACGGG
rnacentral:rRNA from 1 species